GGGGUUGUGGCUCAGUGGUAGAGCGCUCACCUAGCACAUGAGUGGUGCUGGAUUCGAUCCUCAGCACUACA
rnacentral:tRNA from 1 species